rnacentral:rRNA from 1 species
ACGGAGGGUGCAAGCGUUAAUCGGAAUUACUGGGCGUAAAGCGCGCGUAGGCGGUUUGUUAAGCCAGAUGUGAAAGCCCCGGGCUCAACCUGGGAAUUGCAUUUGGAACUGGCAAACUAGAGUGUGUGAGAGGUGAGUGGAAUUUCUAGUGUAGCGGUGAAAUGCGUAGAUAUUAGAAGGAACAUCAGUGGCGAAGGCGACUCACUGGCAUAACACUGACGCUGAGGUGCGAAAGCGUGGGUAGCAAACAGG